GCCAGGAUAGCUCAGUUGGUUAGAGUGUGGUGCUGAUAAUGCCAAGGUUGUAGGUUUGAUCCUCGUAUAUGAUA